AAAAUCACGUGCACAUUCAUCAUUGUAUCUAUCCACCUCGAAUGCAAGCAGACGGGUUAUAGGCCCAUUGAACAAAGGAGAAAUCAAAACCUGAUAGCUUGCCAUUAAGCCAACUCCGUGAGAACAAUUUAACCUCCCCCAAAAAUAAUUUUGAGUUUACAGCAGUGUGAUUGAAUAUACUGUUGUUUCUCUGCUUCCAGAUGCAAUAUGUCACUGUACACCAAAUUACUUGCCAAAUUUCUCCUCAAAUCUGUUUCUAGCAGUCCCUGAAUUUUGCCAACACUUCCAAUAUUGGUCUAAUUAAGCUUCAAUUUUUCUUCAACUUAUUCAAAUAAUCAAGGUAAGUCCUUUUCUCUUUCUUUUCACUACUAUAAAAAAGCUUUUCUAAGAUAAUCAAAAACAGGAUACAACGACGGUCGUUGACCGUUGUAGAAGCCGACGUCAUGAAAAGUUAAACUUUUCAACGACGGAUCAAAAACCACCAUCUUAAAAAGGGAUCAACUUUCAAAAAUGCUGCUGACGUAACCAUCAUUUUUGAAAGUUCGCGUUCUAAGACGAUACGUGAUCAAUGCCUUAAAAAAUCAACCUUCAAAGACGAUGCUGACAUAAACACCGUCUUAAAAAACGCAUUUUCAAAGACAGUGCUUACGUCAGAAUCGUCUUUAAAAGUAAGGAAUUCCUUAUUUGGGAUAGAUGAAAUUCUCAAUCGUUUUAUACUCAUUAAUUAUCUUGUGUGUUUAGGGUGGUUGAGUUAACGCCAAUAGAUUAAAGUUCAUGCUCAAUGAAUCAAUACAUAAUCAUAAUUCCUACACAUAGACUUAGCUAUGAUAAUGGGUCUAACACCGCUCCCACUACCAUUAUCUCCUCGAGGGAUCAAGGUAUACAAUUCAAAAUCACUCUAGUAAACACAUUAUUAGAAUCUGGAUUUGGAUCUAAUUUAAUCCCUAAAAAUUAGUUUAUAAGGUGAAGAUUAUCCCCAUUUACAUAUCUUCAUAUCUUGACAUUAUCUUCAAUUGAUGUAAAAUUUGAAAUUUUCUCAAUACAUCCCUUCAUGUUCAAACAUUUUUGGGCUUUUGGGGGGAUUACAUGGUGAUUGACUAUUUUAAUGGAUCUAGAAUAGGUUUCAAUACCAUAUUAGAAUAUGCAUUUAAAUUUGACUCAACAUCCAAAAACUAACUCUUAAGAUGAAAAUUGUCUUUACUUAUAUAUUAUAUUUUAACAAUAUUUAUAGCCAAAGUGAAACUUAAUUUUUUUUUCAAUACAAUUCAUAUUUAACAUAUUAAUUCCCAAUAUCUUUUCAAUAAUGACAUGAACAAUUCCUCCUCAUACAUAUUUUAACAAAAUAUGGAAGCACUAAUAUUUUUCAUUUUCCAUAAUUCAAUAUCACAAUUCUAGCCCAAAACAUGUGCAAUUCAAAUUCAAAUGCUACCACAAUUUAAUACUAAAGGUUCAAACAUUUUUCAAUCAAUUCUCAUACUUUUUAAACUAUUCACCAGAACCAUAAAUUUAGAAUAUGUAAAAUUUUCUUGACAAUUUGCUAUCAUUAAAUACAUUAAAUAAAACUUUCCUUACCAAAGUUAACUUUACAUAUGCAUAUAUAUUUAUUAUAUUUAAGGUUUUAUUGCAUUUUGGUCUCAAAGGCUGUCAUAAUUUACAAUUUUGCUUUCUUAACUUCCAAUGGCACAAAUUGGAUCUCCUAUAUCAUAUUUGUGGAAUUUUAAUUUUAGUCCCUCUAACUUGUUAAUUAUUCAAUAGAUUUAUUGACAUAAAAAUUCUAGAUAAUGAUGUAUGAAUGACUUGACACCUCAGAGUUUUGUUGACACAUGCUGAUAUUGCUUAAUUUCAUGUACUUCUUGGCCCCUUUUGCAAUUAUGUGAUUUUGGAUCCUCAAUUAUCAAUUUUGCGAAUUGAUUCUGUCAAAUAUUACAAAGAUGUUGUUUUUUUAAUAUUAAAUAAAUAAUAUAUACAAAUACUAUUAAAGCUGAUAUUAAUAAAUUUAAAUUGAUAUUAAUUUGAAAGGUUUUACAAUUUUAAACUAAGUUAUAUUUAUUAAUUUAUAUUUAUCAAUAUUGAUAUAUACUAAUAUUAAUUUCAACAUUACCAGUAUAUAAUAUUAAUUGUUUUUUAUUUAGUAGUAGUUAGUAAAUAUAUGCAUAAUUAAUUUUGGUACCAUGUUUAAAUAUUUAAAUUAUAUAUAAGAAAAUUCAAUUUUUAAUUUCAUUGAGAAAUAGUUAUAUAUUUUACUAAACUUAAAAAAAUAUUUAAUAUUUAAAAUAAAAUAAAAUAUAUUCCUAAAUUCAUCUAUAUUCGAGAUGUUCAUAGAGAAAACCAUUCAGAAUAUGGUGCAGAAAAGCCUCCUGCCAAUGAAUCAACUACACCAACAAGGAAGGGUGGUAGAUCUACAAGAUGUCUUCAAUCGCUUCCCUGUCGAUUAACAUAUGUUCUAUUCUUGUAUAUGAUCGUAACUUGCUGCAAUCGAGAAGGCUUUUAACGAAGCAGAAGAGUUCUACAGAGAUAUAUAGUUCCAUUUAUCAAGGUAACGUUCUUCUUUCAAAUGAAGAUGGUGGCAUGCAGCUGUUAUUUUGUGCAAUUACCAUGUCCAAGUGGUGGAAGGUUGUGUUUCUUAUGAAAGAUGGUUUCAAGGUAAUAAAUAUAAUUUUGACGUGAGAAUUCGGAUCUCAAAAGUACAAAAAUGUGUAGAAGCAAUGUGUUUCGUAGGUGUAUUUGAGUAUAGUUAAGAUGCAUUUGGCUUGAGAAAAUAAUCCUUUAUUAUUGUUUGUACCAUAUAUAUAGCAUUUAACGGUGACCACAGUAUGUCGGAAUGACUUGAGCCUAUCAAUUUUGGCUGUCGCUCCCGAAUGCGUUAAUAUUCUCUGCCAAACGGUGCCCCACGUUAUGUUGGGAUGCAUGACUUUACCAUAUCGAGAAUAACCACUCAAGUUAUCCAAUAGAUAACCAAGUUUACAUGGGAGACGGACACCAAUAAUAGUAAAUACUAAAUACGACAACAUGGCCAAAUGUUUUUUUGAGAAAAUAUACAACACGAU
rnacentral:lncRNA from 1 species